rnacentral:rRNA from 1 species
GAUGAACGCUAGCGGGAGGCUUAAUACAUGCAAGUCGAACGGCAGCAUUUCGGAUGGCAAGUGGCGAACGGGUGAGUAACGCGUACAGAUCUGCCUUAUACUAGAGAAUAGCCCUGGGAAACUGGGAGUAAUACUCUAUGUGGUCGAAGGACUAAAGCUACGGCGGUAUAAGAUGACUGUGCGUCUGAUUAGCUAGUUGGUGAGGUAGAGGCUCACCAAGGCGACGAUCAGUAGGGGGCGUGAGAGCGUGAUCCCCCACACGGGUACUGAGACACGGACCCGACUCCUACGGGAGGCAGCAGUAAGGAAUAUUGGGCAAUGGAGGCAACUCUGACCCAGCCAUCCCGCGUGCAGGAUGAAGGCGCUACGCGUUGUAAACUGCUUUUAUUUGGGACGAAAAUUUAGCAUUUAUGCUGAACUGACGGUACCUUAUGAAUAAGCACCGGCUAACUCCG